UUUUCAACUAAAACUUCCUAAUUAGUUUUCAAUCCUAAUUCCAAUUAAACUUAGACUCUAACAAAUAUGUUGGUGUUCUAAAUUCAAAUACUACAUUUGUUAUACCAUACAAAAUGACCAACAAGACAAUGUGUUGAAACACAUUGAAAAAGAAUAUUUAGUUUAUCGAAUAUGUUUCUCUCUGAUCUACCACAAAGUGAGUCUUAAUCUCUUGAAUGUGUACAAACUGAAACAAUAAAUUGUUCUAGAGCAUAGUCAACACUAGCUAAAGUAAAUACCAUAAAUGAUGGUUUAUCAAUAUGUAAUAAUUAACUCAAACAUAAUGAUUCUUGAACAUGGAUGCUUACAGAAAGCAAAGGCAAUAAAUUGGAAAGAAGAUGAAGAUAAAAAUUGUUUAUUAUAAUUUUGUAAUUUUAAUUUUGUUCCCCAUGCAACAACCCAAUAGUGGGUAUUCAGAGGCCCAACUUGGAGGUCUAAG
rnacentral:misc_RNA from 1 species